rnacentral:rRNA from 1 species
GAUGGACGCUAGCUACAGGCUUAACACAUGCAAGUCGAGGGGUAGCAGGGUAGCAAUACCGCUGACGACCGGCGCACGGGGGAGUAACACGUAUCCAACCUUCCCAUAACUCGGGGGUAGGCUUUCGCAAGAAAGAUUAAUACCCGACAGUACUUUUUCAAGGCAUAUUCUUUAGGGUAAAGAUUUACUGGUUAUGGAUGGGGAUGCGUUCCAUUAGAUAGUUGGUGAGGUAACGGCUCACCAAGUCUUCGAUGGAUAGGGGUUCUGAGAGGAAGGUCCCCCACAUUGGUACUGAGACACGGACCAAACUCCUACGGGAGGCAGCAGUGAGGAAUAUUGGUCAAUGGGCGAGAGCCUGAACCAGCCAAGUAGCGUGAAGGAUGAAGGUCCUAUGGAUUGUAAUCUUCUUUUAUAGUAGAAUAAAGUGAUCCACGUGUGGAUUUUUGUAUGUAUACUAUGAAUAAGGAUCGGCUAACUCCGUGCCAGCCGCCGCGGUAAGAC